AACAGUGGUGGGUAUCUUCGUGUUCCUCGAGGUCGAUGUCGCUCACCGUUUCGAAAAUUAUAGAGAAAGGGUUUUGAAAUUGAACCCUUCUUGCGGUCGGACGAGUAACGAUGAUAAAAAUCGUCUACGAUGAGGAUAAGUACAUAAAUGGAGUUUGCUAGAAAAGAAAAAAAAAGAAACGAAAGAAAAGUAUUAUUUUUCUUUUUCUCAAUUUCCGAAGAAGUUAUAAAUAAAAAAAAAUAGAGAGAGAGAGAGAGAAAUAUCACGUACCGACAAAGAGUAAAACAUGGUUCAUAUGAUUCGAAAAGCACGAAUAUUUCCUACGAUUGGAACUUAUAAGUGGAUAAAAUCCUUUCACAAAAA
rnacentral:lncRNA from 1 species